rnacentral:rRNA from 1 species
UCGAGGAUCUUCGGCAAUGGGCGCAAGCCUGACCGAGCGACGCCGCGUGCGAGAUGAAGGCCUUCGGGUUGUAAAUCGCUGUCAGUGGGGAGGAAAUGCCGGUGGGUUCUCCCAUCGGUUUGACCUAUCCGCAGAGGAAGGACGGGCUAAGUUCGUGCCAGCAGCCGCGGUAAGACGAACCGUCCAAACGUUAUUCGGAAUCACUGGGCUUAAAGGGUGCGUAGGCUGCCCGGUAAGUUGGGUGUGAAAGCCCUCGGCUCAACCGAGGAAUUGCGCCCAAAACUGUCGGGCUCGAGGAAGAUAGAGGUGAGCGGAACUAAGGGUGGAGCGGUGAAAUGCGUUGAUAUCCUUAGGAACACCAGUAGCGAAAGCGGCUCACUGGGUCUUCUCUGACGCUGAGGCACGAAAGCUAGGGGAGCGAACG